UAGAGUUUGAUCAUGGCUCAGAUUGAACGCUGGCGGCAUGCUUUACACAUGCAAGUCGAACGGCAGCGGGGGCUUCGGCCUGCCGGCGAGUGGCGAACGGGUGAGUAAUGCAUCGGAACGUGCCCAUGUCGUGGGGGAUAACUACGCGAAAGCGUAGCUAAUACCGCAUACGCCCUGAGGGGGAAAGCGGGGGAUUCUUCGGAACCUCGCGCGAUUGGAGCGGCCGAUGUCAGAUUAGCUAGUUGGUGAGGUAAAGGCUCACCAAGGCGACGAUCUGUAGCGGGUCUGAGAGGAUGAUCCGCCACACUGGGACUGAGACACGGCCCAGACUCCUACGGGAGGCAGCAGUGGGGAAUUUUGGACAAUGGGCGCAAGCCUGAUCCAGCCAUGCCGCGUGAGUGAAGAAGGCCUUCGGGUUGUAAAGCUCUUUCGGCCGGGAAGAAAUCUGCGACUCUAACAUAGUCGCUGGAGGACGGUACCGGACUAAGAAGCACCGGCUAACUACGUGCCAGCAGCCGCGGUAAUACGUAGGGUGCGAGCGUUAAUCGGAAUUACUGGGCGUAAAGCGUGCGCAGGCGGUUUUGUAAGACAGAUGUGAAAUCCCCGGGCUUAACCUGGGAACUGCGUUUGUGACUGCAAGCCUAGAGUACGGCAGAGGGGGGUGAAUUCCUGGUGUAGCAGUGAAUGCGUAGAUAUCAGAGGACACCGAUGGCGAAGCAGCCCCUGGGCCUGUACUGACGCUCAUGCACGAAAGCGUG
rnacentral:rRNA from 1 species